rnacentral:rRNA from 1 species
CCUACGGGAGGCAGCAGUGAGGAAUAUUGGUCAAUGGACGCAAGUCUGAACCAGCCAAGUAGCGUGCAGGAUGACGGCCCUCCGGGUUGUAAACUGCUUUUAUUUGGGAAUAAAAUGGGGCUCGUGAGCCCCGUCUUGUAUGUACCAUCAGAAAAAGUACCGUCUAAUUCCGUGCCAGCAGCCGCGGUAAUACGGAAGGUCCGCGCGUUAUCCGGAUUUAUUGGGUUUAAAGGGAGCGUAGGCCGGCUUUUAAGUCAGCUGUGAAAGUUCGCGGCUCAACCGUGGAAUUGCAGUUGAAACUGGCGGUCUUGAGUGCAGAUAGGGAAGCCGGAAUUCAUGGUGUAGCGGUGAAAUGCUUAGAUAUCAUGAAGAACUCCGAUCGCGAAGGCAAGUGUCCGGGGUGCAACUGACGCUGAGGCUCGAAAGUGCGGGUAUCAAACAGGAUUAGAUACCCGAGUAGUC